rnacentral:rRNA from 1 species
AAGCUUGCUUUUGAUGGGCGUCGACCGGCGCACGGGUGAGUAACGCGUAUCCAACCUGCCCACCACUUGGGGAUAACCUUGCGAAAGUAAGACUAAUACCCAAUGACGUCUCUAGAAGACAUCUGAAAGAGAUUAAAGAUUUAUCGGUGAUGGAUGGGGAUGCGUCUGAUUAGCUUGUUGGCGGGGUAACGGCCCACCAAGGCGACGAUCAGUAGGGGUUCUGAGAGGAAGGUCCCCCACAUUGGAACUGAGACACGGUCCAAACUCCUACGGGAGGCAGCAGUGAGGAAUAUUGGUCAAUGGACGAGAGUCUGAACCAGCCAAGUAGCGUGCAGGAAGACGGCCCUAUGGGUUGUAAACUGCUUUUAUAAGGGAAUAAAGUGAGAGUCGUGACUCUUUUUGCAUGUACCUUAUGAAUAAGGACCGGCUAAUUCCGUGCCAGCAGCCGCGGUAAUACGGAAGGUCCGGGCGUUAUCCGGAUUUAUUGGGUUUAAAGGGAGCGUAGGCCGGAGAUUAAGCGUGUUGUGAAAUGUAGAUGCUCAACAUCUGAACUGCAGCGCGAACUGGUUUCCUUGAGUACGCACAAAGUGGGCGGAAUUCGUGGUGUAGCGGUGAAAUGCUUAGAUAUCACGAAGAACUCCGAUUGCGAAGGCAGCUCACUGGAGCGCAACUGACGCUGAAGCUCGAAAGUGCGGGUAUCGAACAGGAUUAGAUACCCUGGUAGUCCGCACGGUAAACGAUGGAUGCCCGCUGUUGGUCUGAAUAGGUCAGCGGCCAAGCGAAAGCAUUAAGCAUCCCACCUGGGGAGUACGCCGGCAACGGUGAAACUCAGAGGAAUUGACGGGGGCCCGCACAAG